UACGGGGGGGGCAAGCGUUGUUCGGAAUUACUGGGCGUAAAGGGCUCGUAGGCGGCCAACUAAGUCAGACGUGAAAUCCCCAGGCUCAACCUGGGAACUGCGUCUGAUACUGGAUGGCUUGAAUUCGGGAGAGGAAUGCAGAAUUCCAGGUGUAGCGGUGAAAUGCGUAGAUAUCUGGAGGAACACCGGUGGCGAAGGCGGGUCUCUGGGCCGAUACUGACGCUGAGGAGCGAAAGCGUGGGGAGCGAACAGG
rnacentral:rRNA from 1 species